rnacentral:rRNA from 1 species
AUACGGAGGGUGCGAGCGUUAUCCGGAUUUAUUAGGUUUAAAGGGUGUGUAGGCGGGAGCCUAAGUCAGUGGUGAAAUCUCACAGCUUAACUGUGAAACUGCCAUUGAAACUGGGUUUCUUGAGUAUAGUUGAGGUAGGCGGAAUGUGUAAUGUAGCGGUGAAAUGCAUAGAUAUUACACAGAACACCGAUUGCGAAGGCAGCUUACUAAGCUAUUACUGACGCUGAUGCACGAAAGCGUGGGUAGCGAACAGGAUUAGAAACCCCGGUAGUCC